AACUUAUUCAGAGCAGGUGAGGUGAUCAGUCCUUUGACCCUGCAGCAACCUACUUAAAUUAGGUGCUCAACUGACAGGGGGCUAACCCACCAAUAAGGA
rnacentral:ncRNA from 2 species